AUUGAACGCUGGCGGCAUGCCUUACACAUGCAAGUCGAACGGCAGCACGGGAGCAAUCCUGGUGGCGAGUGGCGAACGGGUGAGUAAAGUAUCGGAACGUGCCCAGUCGUGGGGGAUAACGUAGCGAAAGCUACGCUAAUACCGCAUACGAUCUAUGGAUGAAAGCGGGGGAUCGCAAGACCCCGCGCGAUUGGAGCGGCCGAUAUCAGAUUAGGUAGUUGGUGAGGUAAAGGCUCACCAAGCCGACGAUCUGUAGCUGGUCUGAGAGGACGACCAGCCACACUGGGACUGAGACACGGCCCAGACUCCUACGGGAGGCAGCAGUGGGGAAUUUUGGACAAUGGGCGCAAGCCUGAUCCAGCAAUGCCGCGUGCAGGAUGAAGGCCUUCGGGUUGUAAACUGCUUUUGUACGGAGCGAAACGGCUUCCACUAAUACUGGGGGCUAAUGACGGUACCGUAAGAAUAAGCACCGGCUAACUACGUGCCAGCAGCCGCGGUAAGAC
rnacentral:rRNA from 1 species